UUACUAGAUUUCAAUUUCUCCAAAUGAAAGGAUCCAAACGACCCCUUAGUGAAAAUAUCGUAUUUCCUCCUUGGUUGGUCAUAUUUUUUCUGAUUAAUCCAUUCAACUCAAAAUUGGGUGUCUAAAUUUUUCUUCUUAAUGAAAAAUCGCCUCAUUCUUCUUAGGUUGGUCAAAAAUUUUCUUUUCUGAUUAAUAAGGUGCGCAAUUGCCUAAAAAUGGAGAUGAUAUUUAAGAAAACAUGGAUCGAUUGAUUCUACCAUAGAUUUGACUCGCUUUGUGGGAUUGGCACCCCAAUAUGGUCGUAAUUCAUGAGGUAUUAUUCCCCUUCUUGUUUAGGUUAGAUUCAAGCACUAUUUUUAGUUUUUCUUUUGUUCUUGUUUCAAUACCAAUUGAGUUGAACACCUAAAAAAUUACAACUCUUUUUUAUUGUCUCUCGUUCCUUUAGUACAAGGUGGCACACAAAAAUAUUGCCAACCUUUUGUGUGAGGCUAUUUGUCUCAUCAUGCACACAUGCUAUUAAUGUCAUAUGCUUGCAUAUUCUUGGAGCAUCAUAAGGGAGGCCCUGCUUUAGCCAGUGUAUCUUGGACCUCACGUCUUGCCACUGCAUGGCGCUUUAAUGUCUGAAGUCCAUCCAUGAAAGUACAAGAUCCUUGUCAUUGCUAAUAUAGUAAAAAGAUAAUAUACAUGCAUUUAUUGUUCACGGCCUUGUUUAGUUCCAAAAUAUUUUACAAAAUCAACACUGUAGCUUUUUCGUUUGUAUUUGACAAAUAUUAUCCAAUCAUAGACUAACUAGGCUCAAAAGAUUCGUCUCGUCAAUUUCGACCAAACUGUGCAAUAGUUUUUAUUUUUAUCUAUAUUUAAUACUUCAUGCAUGUGUCUAAAGAUUCAAUGUGACGGGGAAUCUGAAAAAUUUUGUAAAAUUUUUUGGGAACUAAACAAGGCCUUAUACAUCCAUCCAUCUACAUUGUUUAAUUCAUAAAUAAAAACCCUAAUAUAUCCAUCACUCAAACCUAAUCCAUGUUUUCAUUAUUCAUCCAUCAUAAAUCCAUCAUCCAUCUAUACAUACAAUUAUAUGUGCAUCCAUAGGCAGAAUGGACACUAGUACAGGGAAUGGCUUUAGCCCCGGGCCGUAAGCGCCUUUAGUCCCGGCUACAGAACCGGGGCUAAGGUUUCGGAACUAAAUGUCCCACCUUUAGUCCCGGUUGGUAACAGCAACCGGGACUAAAAGGUGCGCCAGGGUGUGCCAUCUGGCCUCCACUUUUAGUCCCGGUUGUUGCUACCAAACCGGGACUAAAGACUUUUUUCUUUUUUCUUUUUCUUUUCAUUUGGUUUUCCACUUAGGGUUUACAAUUAUGUUAUUGUUAUUUUUGAAUGCGUAUUGUUUGCUGGUAGUUUAUGGAACGCGCACCUAUAAUUUAUAUAAUUUAAAGUAUACUAUAAAACACUAUAUAUAUAUAAAUAAUAUGUAUCUAUAGGUCCAUAAUAUAAUAUUUACACAUAUGCUUCACGGACAAAGUAUUUACAACACAAUUUAUCUCCGCCACUCAAGCAUCGUACAAAUGAUCAUCGUUAUUUGGUUUCAUUUGCUCCUGAGGGUUGAAGUAGCACUCGCCGCCGGGAUCCAGGACUUGGUCGUUAAGAAAUCCUGCGAUUGUCUCCUGAAUUCCUUUAGGCGCACCGCAUCCAACACCUGCUCCUUCAGCCACAUCUCCUUUAAUAGACAUUAAAGAAAAAAGUUAGAGGUAUGAAUAGGAUUUAUUAAAUAGCAACAAAUAAAUGAAAUAAACUUAUUAUAUAUACAUGUUACAUAU
rnacentral:lncRNA from 1 species